GACGAACUGUUGUUGUCCUGUUUCCGUCCAUUCUAAUCCGGAAACUGGGGCUGUGUUGUGCUGAUCAAGUUUUGCCUGCAGUUUCCAGCGAGCGAUCAGUUCGUCCGCAAUGGCAGAAUUCGGGAAAACGACAGGGGACAAUCCGUGGUGGAAAUAGGCCAAAAUUAUUGGACAGAAAUGUUAACAUCCAGAUUUGACUGAUUUGGCACUAAGAGGCAAAAACAUAGGUGUGAGAACAAGAGCAGAUGCUUUUCAAGGGACUCCUCAACCACCCCUGUAUGAUUUGCACGCACCACGCUACUCUGCGAUUUCAUCACCCAUUGGCACUGUACUUCAGAGAAAUGAAAUAAAUGCUUCUCCUGGAUAUCAAUCCAACUACCCUGCAUUUCCGCCAUAUCCAGCAUAUCCAACAUACCCAGCAGCAUCACAACCCUCAAAUGCUCUUCCACAAAAUGCCGGCUACCAGAAGUCAGUUGCUGCAUCAUCAGUGGCUUUUGCUGCACAGAAUACUGGUGCUGCAAGGCCUCCUCCAAUUUUGCCCUACUCUGUCAUCCAGCAGCAUCCUAAUUCCGUUUAUGUUUUCAACACACAAAGUCCUGCAUCAACAUACGUUGUAAACCAGCAGCAAAUUGCACCAGCAUUUGUUGUUAACCAGCAACAUCCUGCACCGCCCGUGGUUCUGAUUCAGUCUAGCAAGGUUGCAACAGGAAAUCAUAUAACCAAUGGUUAUCCAACAGCAAUGACCCUCCACCAAUCUGCAAAAAAUCUCUCCAAAGAUUUAACAAAUAUUGUCUUGUCUAAUGUAGAAUGUGCAAUUGACUCUCAAUCAAGAAAUAAGGGGAAGCAAGUAACUGUUAUGACUGGAGGAAGUCACACGAUCAUAUACAAGUAGAUGAAAAUGGAAUUAACUGCAGUGUGUGCAGACAGGUCUUCAAAGAAUAUUGCCUGUUUUGUACCAUAUACGACAUGCAUAAUUGUAAACUCCUGUAGUUGCAUUAGUCAACAAAUUCAUAGCUUAAAAUGGAAGACUUUCUUCAAUUUAAUCUAAAGCAUGAAAUAUGAAAAGCUUAUGUAAAAUUUUUGAGAUUACUUUUGUAGUACUAUGUAACUUCGAUCAAUAGAUGCAAAUUGUAGAACUAUUUUUGCGACAAGUUAUCUGAGGAACUAUACUGUACAGAUAAUUUGAAAGAUCAUAAAGUUUUUAAAAAUACAUAUGGGCAUCAAUAUCAUAAAGCAGCUUAAAAUCCAAAAUCUUCAAUAAAAAUAUUGAAUUGUUUUUAUUAUGAAGAAAUAAAGAAACCUGUC